UACGAAGGGGGCUAGCGUUGCUCGGAAUCACUGGGCGUAAAGGGCGCGUAGGCGGAUCUUUAAGUCAGGGGUGAAAGCCCAAGGCUCAACCUUGGAAUUGCCUUUGAUACUGAGGAUCUUGAGACCGGAAGAGGUAAGUGGAACUGCGAGUGUAGAGGUGAAAUUCGUAGAUAUUCGCAAGAACACCCGUGGCGAAGGCGGCCAUCUGGACCAGCACUGACGCUGAGGCACGAAAGCGUGGGGAGCAAACAGG
rnacentral:rRNA from 1 species